GUGGGGAAUUUUGGACAAUGGGCGCAAGCCUGAUCCAGCCAUGCCGCGUGUGUGAAGAAGGCCUUCGGGUUGUAAAGCACUUUCGGCCGGAACGAAAUCGCGCGGGUGAACAUCCCGCGUGGAUGACGGUACCGGAAGAAGAAGCACCGGCUAACUACGUGCCAGCAGCCGCGGUAAUACGUAGGGUGCGAGCGUUAAUCGGAAUUACUGGGCGUAAAGUGUGCGCAGGCGGCCUCGCAAGUCAAGUGUGAAAGCCCCGGGCUCAACCUGGGAACUGCGCUUGAAACUACGGGGCUCGAGUGUGGCAGAGGGAGGUGGAAUUCCACGUGUAGCGGUGAAAUGCGUAGAGAUGUGGAGGAACACCGAUGGCGAAGGCAGCCUCCUGGGCCAACACUGACGCUCAUGCACGAAAGCGUGGGGAGCAAACAGGAUUAGAAACCCGGGUAGUCC
rnacentral:rRNA from 1 species